CUCCUCUUUCUUUCUCUGUCUAGGGUUUCAAAAGCGCCGCUUUUCGCUGAUCGGAGUGUGUUUGAUAACUUAAUCAUCAGCCUGAAGAAGAUGAAUCUGACAAGUCAAAGUCAGAAGUUCAUGAUGAUGAUGAUGACAGUGGAGAGAGGGUGGUAAUGCCAUCAACAAAAAAACCUGAGCAAAUGUAUGUUAUUAUUACCUGAAGAUCAUUGCAGAGGGUGGUAAUGCCAUCAGCCAUAAUCAGCCCAGAUUCUUACGGAUUUGGACAUCUUCUCUGUCAUCGGAGCGAAUAAACCACCGUAGUUAGUUGACUCGAGAGUCAAAGUCAAGAUGGAAGAUGCGAUUGUAAUUAGGUUCGAAGCGAUAACCGGUAGCCCUUUGGUCAGCG